rnacentral:rRNA from 1 species
GACGGAGGGUGCUAGCGUUGUUCGGAAUCACUGGGCGUAAAGCGCACGUAGGCGGAUGUGUCAGUCAGGGGUGAAAUCCCGGGGCUCAACCUCGGAACUGCCUCCGAUACAGCACAUCUCGAGUCCGGAAGAGGUGAGUGGAAUUCCUAGUGUAGAGGUGAAAUUCGUAGAUAUUAGGAAGAACACCAGUGGCGAAGGCGGCUCACUGGUCCGGUACUGACGCUGAGGUGCGAAAGCGUGGGGAGCAAACAGG